AACGUAGGUACCGAGCGUUAUCCGGAUUCACUGGGCGUAAAGCGCGUGCAGGUGGUUUGGUAAGUCGGGCAUGAAAACUCUUGGCUCAACUGAGAGACGCUGUCCGAUACUGUCGAACUUGAGGGUGUGAGAGGGAGGUGGAAUUCCGCAUGUAGUGGUGAAAUGCGUAGAUAUGCGGAGGAACACCAGUGGCGAAGGCGGCCUCCUGGCACACUCCUGACACUCAGACGCGAAAGCUAGGGGAGCGAACGGG
rnacentral:rRNA from 1 species